AUGAGAAACAGCACCCAGUAUGUACAGUCAAGAGGAAAAGCUGGCCAGAGAAAACCACCCACAUGGAGGUGUUACAGACUCUUGUGUGCUGCCUCCUCACAGGAAGUUGUGGAAAGAUGUGAUGGACACGUAGGGAUGGAUGCUAAAGCUGACAUUUCUGAAAUCCAAAGGGGGAAUAUGUUGGAGCUUGAGUGGGUCUUCUUGGAGUCCCUCAAAUUAGAUUGUGUGAGCUCACUCCACCCACUGAGGAGCAAACCCUCCACACAACACACUCCCUUCCAAACCUUGGAACUCAACCCCCUCCAUGUUCCCCUGCUACCCUGCAAGAUGCCAAAACAGCUUCAAGGAAGUCUGCUGAGAAUUGCUCAUCAUUUUUACACUUGGUUGGAUAAAGCCCAGAGCAGAAAACAAAACAGAGACCCAGAUCCCCUUUUGAAAGCCCCACAGUAACCAGAGAUCAGGUCCAAAGACAGAAUCCAGAGUUUCUGUGCUGCUGUGUGCCCAGGAAGCUUGGGUGAGCUGUUUUCGGCCAUCCCAUCAAGCACAGACUGGAAUUAUAAUGUAGAGUGUUGGCUCCUUUUCCCCCAGGUUGAGCAGCAAAUGUCCUUCCUCUUGCAAAUUAUACCCCAUUCUUCCAAUGCUACCUGCCUGCUUCCUAUUGGUUAGAAGGCAACAGCAUCUUGCACAAUAAAAUUCAAUUUUAGCAAUUUCUCCACUGCCUCCGAGAAAGGGAGGAAAAUUCUCAGUAUGAGGGCAGCUUUUCUUUAUCGGCUUCUGCUUUGGAAGAUGACAACAUCAUCCUUUAGAUUUCUUAAGGAAAUAGAGCAGAGCCAAAGUAGACUGUGGCAUCCAGCUGGGGUUUAAGACCUUGUUCAUAAUGCCUAAAGAACUUCAAAAAGUUACAAGGACAAUACCUACUGUAAUAUGCUCAUUGACAUCCAAAGGAGUCCAAGAAAAGUAGGUCGUGGGUAUAAUGAGAGGCAAAAACACUGAUAAAUGGAGGGGGAGACACAUCGGUGUGUCCCUGGGAGCUGUUGCUUUCUACUUUAAGAAGAAAAUUGGAUGGGAGCAGUGGCUUUCAGAAGACGUCAAAGCUGCCUCAAAACUCUGGCAGGAGCUAACUUUGUUUUCUAAAUUUAAAGACAUUGCAGCUUCUAUAAUUUGUCUCCAAUAAAGCUAUGCCAUUUUUUUUAAGUCCUGGCUUUCUUGCUAACUCACUGUGUGGACACAGUUAUUCUCUUUGAGAAUAUUCAGUUUACUCAUCUGUAAAACGGAGACACGGCACAUCCUUACCUGAAAGGUUCCCUCAUCAGGCACUUCAACAAGGUACAUACAUAUGUAAGAUGCCCAGGGCCCUCCAAGACAAAGAAGAGGUCCACGCCUGUAAUCCCAGCACUUUGAAAGGCCAAGGUGGGUGGAUGACCUGAGGUCAGGAGUUUGAGACCAGCCUGGCCAAUAUGGUGAAACCCCAUUUCUACUAAAAAUACAAAAAUUAGCCAGGCGUGGUGACAGGCGCCUGUAAUCCCAGCUACUUGGGAGGCUGAGGCAGGAGAAUCGCUGGAACUUGGGAGGUGGAAGUUGCAGCGAGUCGAGAUCGUGACAUUGCACUCCAGCCUGGGCAACAAGAGUGAAACUCCAGCUCAAAAAAAAAAAAAAAAAAAAAAAAAGACAAAGCAGAGGUUGUUCUCAUUUUCCAGAAACUUAAGACCUAACAGAGAAAGAGAGAAAGUGACGUUCAUAUAAACACACCAUAAAAAAUAGUCUGGAAUACACACAUGAACACGAAAGCAUAAGCACCAGAGCUGUUGGCAGCUUGCAAACUUUGCAUUUCUUCCUGACCAACAUACUCUCCAGAAAACAGCAGUUAAAUCACUUUAAAGAAAAGGGGAUUAUUUUCAGGCAAGGACACGUCCCUCUGGAUUAUGUCAAGGCCAUCAGCCAAAGCUAAAAAGUAUCUUGAUCUUUUGCUGUGCUCUUCUCUGUAAACUUUUACCUUUGGACUAUGGCCCAUUUGCAUGACUUUGACCCAAGGAAGGAGAGGGGAAAUAAAUCAAAGUGAGUUUUUUCUAGUGGAAGCAGCUAUAUUUAAAGGUCUCAUUGAGUGCUCAUUCAUUCAACAAACAUUUACUGAAAUGUACUAGAUGGUCAAGUACUAUACUAGGUACUGAGAAUACAAUGGUGAGCCAAAUACAGCCUGGAGGAAGAGCUAAAAUAUUUUUAAGUGAAAUUAUGACACAGUACUACAAGCUCUGGGAUAGGGUAAACACAAGACACUGUGGGAGCCCAGAUAAUGCACCUCCUCUCCCAUGAAGCAGUCAGGAAAGACUUCCUGGAGGAGGUGACAUGAAAGCUGAAAUCAUCAGGACUGGUAGGAGUCGGUUGGGUGAGGGAAUGUGAUGAGUGGGUUCAGGAAAGGGGAAUAUCAAGUGCAAAGGUAUAAAGGUGGGAGUGGACAUAUUACAUUACAUUUCACCACGCCCGGCUAAUUUUUGUAUUUUUAGUAGAGAUGGGGUUUCACCACAUUGGCCAGGCUGGUCUCAAACUCCUGACCUCAGGUCAUCCACCUGCCUCAGCCUUCCAAAGUGCUGGGAUUACAGGCGUGGACCUCUACAUUACGUUACAUAACUGGGGAGGAGGUAGGGCUGAAACAUGAAAUUGCAGAGAUCAGUCUGGGUAUAUUAUGGAAGUCAAUGAAUGACCAGACGUAGAUAUUAAGGAGAGAAGUGCCAGGAUCAAAUUUGCAUUUUACGAAGAGUUCUGUGGCUGGCAACAGCACAGAAUAUUAGGUAGGGAAAUAAAAUUUAAGGAUGCCCUAGAGAUCUCAAUCAGCAGUGAAGAUGACCGCCAUUUGUAGCAAGUGUUCUACUACAUAUACUCCCACAUACACCUUUCAUACUUAGAACAACCGAGUGCAACUAUCCCUAUUUUACAGAUAAAGGAAUAGAACCUCCAAAACAGAGUUUCUCAACCUCGGCCUCAUUGACAUUUUGGUCCAGGUAACUCUUUGCUGUGUGGGAAAUGUUCUGCGCAUUGUAGGAAAUUUAGCAGCGUCCUGAGCUCUACCCACGAAAUGUCAGCAGAACCUUCCCACCAAAUGUGACAACCAAAAACACCCCCAGAUGUUGCCAAAAGUCCCCUGGGAGGACACAAUGACUCCCUGACUGAUAACCACUAUUCUAAAAGAUCCAACCCCACAGUUCACCCAAGCGAGGAUGCUAACUGGGUCCUCUGUCUCCAUCAAACACACUCCCUGUCCAUGCCCGCCUCAUCCCUCAUGGCCUGGGAAAAGACGUCACAUGCAUCCAUUUGCCUCUAAACGACUGAAGUUUUCACUGGGAAAAGUUUUAAGAACAGAUGUCACUUUCCCUAGUCAUUUUGAUUUUUUUCAUACAUUAAAGUGAGGAUGACUUUUUUUUUUUCCUAUCAGCUAAAAAUUGUUACCACACUGGAUGCAAAAGAGUUUUCUCUCAUUACAUGUGCAAUUCUAUACAUUUUUCUUCAAACCAGCAGAGCACUGGCACCAAAUAUGAGGAUGAUUCAUGUGACAUCAUGGUCAUUCCUGCCCAAUUCCAAGGGUAUUUGCCGGUCUUGGGCACUGCCGUCCAUUUGAUGAUUUGAAGUUUCCUUCCAUAAAUGUGCAAUUUUUAAAAAACCAAAUCAUUCCCCUUAUGGAUCUGCAUCAGAAAGUUUGCUUUGUGAUGAAAUCUGCAGAUGCAAAAAAAAAGUGGGGGGUGGAUUUCACAGAGCAGGUACACGCAGCAAGAGCAUGACUGAGCCAAUUUCCUCUGUUCCCUCUUCAUGUGAAAGUGCGGCGGAUGUGGAGACUGUCUUCUCAAAUUACCCCGCCAGACAAAGAGAGAGUUUUUUAGAAGAGUCCCGAGCAUGUAAUUUUAUUACUUUAGCAUCAAUUGUAAUGUAAUUCAUGUAAUUUCUUUUGCGGAGAAAAGUCAUUUUCCUAAAUACUUGGCAAAAUGAGAGCUGAUGGAUUUUUGACUUCCACCAACUCUCUCUGUAGAAUUUUCCACUAUAAAAGGAAACAUAUAGAGCUGCUCAGUGCAAAUGGCCUCACCUGGAAGCAGAAAGGGUUUUUAGGCCCUUUCAAACUUGGUGAUUUGUUUCCUUUUUUGUUUGUUUUUUUGUUUUUGUUUUUUUUGAGAUGGAGUCGCCCUCUGUUGCCCAGGCUGGAGUGCAGUGACAUGAUCUUGGCUCACUGCAACCUCCGCCUCCCAGGUUCAAGAGAUUCUCCUGCCUCAGCCUCCUGAGUAGCUGGGAUUACAGACACCCACCACCACACCCGCCUAAUUUUUGUAUUUUUAGUAGAGAAGGGGUUUCACCAUGUUGCCCAGGCUGGUCUCAAACUCCUGACUCUGUCACCACUCAAAGGUGGAUUCACCCACCCUCAGCCCUACCCUAGAGUCAGCUGGCUACGAAGUCUGC
ensembl:lncRNA